rnacentral:rRNA from 1 species
GACAGAGGCCCCAAGCGUUAGGCGGAAUCACUGGGCUUAAAGCGUGUGUAGGCGGACGCCUAAGUGUCUUGUGAAAUCCCACGGCUCACCCGUGGAACUGUCGGUGCAUACUGGGCGUCUUGGGCCAACUAGGGGCAGCCGGAACAAGCGGUGGAGCGGUGAAAUGCGUAGAUAUCGCUUGGAACGCCGAAGGUGAAAACAGGCUGCUGGGGUUGCGCCGACGCUGAGACACGAAAGCCAGGGGAGCAAACGGG